AGUACGUGAAACUGCUUAGAGGUUAAGCCCGAUGAACCUGAAUAUCCGUUAUGGAAAAUUCAUCACUAAUACUAUGAUAUUUAUAAUAUUAUAGAAAUGGUGUGCAAUUUUUCCAUAUAAGGACAUUGUAAUCUGUUAAUGUAUUAAAUAUUUAUUAAAAGAUCUUAUACUUAAGUUUAUUCAAAUUAGUUAUUUUCGGAUUUCUAACAUAGGAUAAAUGUAUUUGAUUUAAUAAAUCAUUGACAGAUUUUAUUAUAAUAUAGUGCUCAAAUUUUGAACGAAAUUUUACAAUAAUAUGAUAAUUCAAUUUGUUAUAUUUAUUGUAUGCGCUUAUAUGAUUAACAAUGCGAUAGAUUCAGGAUACCUUCGGGACCCGUCUUGAAACACGGACCAAGGAGUCUAACAUAUGUGCAAGUCAUUGGGUAUUUUUAAUAAAACCCAAUGGCAUAAUUAACUUAACUGUUUUUUAAAUGGGAUUAGUUUAUAUUUUAUUAUGAAAUAUUAAUUCAAUCCCGGGGCGUUCUAUAUAGUUAUGCAUAAUGAUAUUUAUAUUAUUUAUGUCUCUAACU
rnacentral:rRNA from 1 species